CCCCCACCGUCUUUUCCUUCCCCAAACCUAAUACCUAAUUGCUUCAGGAAACAAAGAACAGAAGAAAGAAAGAAAGAAAGAAGGAAAGAAAGAAAGGGAUGGCGGAGAGGAUCAGAGUGUGGGUCACACGAGAAGAGGAGAAGGAGUGCGUCACGGUGCUCAUGCCGCCGCGCUCCUUGCCGCCGCCGUCGUGUCACCGUAGGAGGGAGGCAGAGAGAGAGUGAUGACGAAGGGAGAGGAGGACGCGAGCAAGGGCAGAAGAGAGGAGAUCGCGUUUGCUCACCGCCAAGCCGCUGCCAUCCAAGGUCUGCGCCAACACCGUCAUCGUCGUCCGAGGAGCGCCGCUGACCUGUCACCGCCAUGGCUGGGUUGUUGUGAGCGUUGGGCCCAGACGAGAAAGAAGAAACGCGGGCCUGAAAUCCUGACGAGUUGGGGAGGAUUAGCACCACCGCUGUGCCGUUCGUGGACUCCAUCACCGCUGUUGAAGGCUCCAAUCGUCCAACUUGCCGCUGUCGUUGCCUUCGCCGUCUUUCCUCCACCGUUGCAGAAGAUCCAUCACCAAAGCUGCUGGGCUCACCGACCGUAACUGAAGCCUCUGUCUUUUGAGGUUUUGGUUGUUGCAAGUUAUUCAAUUGUACGCCGUCAUCGAAAUUGGGCUAGAUUUAUCGGUAACUGCUUCUUCCUUUCCUGAAUCUAUUUCAUUUCUAUUUUGCUCCGCUGUUCUAAUUUUGUUGGUAUCCCUGCUGCCUUACCGAUUGGAGUGGUGUUACUGCCAUUAGGACAGAUGCACAUGUCUUUGAUUUCUGUUCCUCUGCCGUGGGGUGCCGACACCGGAGCCGCUCCUAAUGACUCUGUCAUUGUAAUUGCAAUUUAUAUUAACACGGCUGUUGUAAGAGGCGUCGGGGCUGUUGCUGUUCUCGUGGGGGUUAUAGUUGUCACUGUCACUAUGAAUUAAAAGGAAAGGAAUUAUCACGAUAAAUUACGCGGACUCAGCUAACUGAGGAAAUAAAGAACAGAAGAAAGAAAGAAAGAAAGAAGGAAAGAAAGAAAGGGAUGGCGGAGAGGAUCGGAGCGUGGGUCACACGAGAAGAGGAGAAGGAGUGCGUCACGGUGCUCAUGCCGCCGCGCUCCUUGCCGCCGCCGUCGUGUCACCGUAGGAGGGAGGCAGAGAGAGAGUGACGACGAAGGGAGAGGAGGACGCGAGCAAGGGCAGAAGAGAGGAGAUCGCGUUUGCUCACCGCCAAGCCGCUGCCAUCCAAGGUUCGCGCUAACACCGUCAUCGCCGUCCGAGGAGCGCCGCUGACCUGUCACUGCCAUGGCUGAGUUGUUGUGAGCGUUGGGCCCAGACGAGAAAGAAGAAACGCGGGCCUGAAACCCCGACGAGCUGGGGAGGAUUAGCACCACCGCUGUGCCGUUCGUGGACUCCAUCACCGCUGUUGAAGGCUCCAAUCGUCCAACUUGCCGCUGUCGUUGCCUCGCCGUCUUUCCUCCACCGUUGCAGAAGAUCCAUCACCAAAGCUGCUGGGCUCACCGACCGCAACUGAAGCCUCUGUCUUUUGAGGUUUUGGUUGUUGCAAGUUAUUCAACUGUACGCCGUCAUCGAAAUUGGGCUAGAUUUAUCGGUAACUGCUUCUUCCUUUCCUGAAUCUAUUUCAUUUCUAUUUUGCUCCGCUGUUCUAAUUUUGUUGGUAUCCCUGCUGCCUUACCGAUUGGAGUGGUGUUACUUCCAUUAGGACAGAUGCACAUGUCUUUGAUUUCUGUUCCUCUGCCGCGGGGUGCCGACACCGGAGCCGCUCCUAAUGACUCUGGUCGGAUAUCUUUUUUAAUUCUAGGCCAUUUACAUGUUUUCCUAUUUUUGCCAUGCUUGUUCUGAUUCGAUUUUUUAUUCAUGUCCUUGUCUUGGGUUUCUUGAAAUUGUUUCAUUCACUGUAAUUGCAAUUUAUAUUAACACGGCUGUUGUAAGAGGCGUCGGGGCUGUUGCUGUUCUCGUGGGGGUUAUAGUUGUCACUGUCACUAUGAAUUAAAAGGAAAGGAAUUAUCACGAUAAAUUACGCGGACUUAGCUAACUGAGCUUUACCUUUUCAGGAACCAGAUGAAGAAGCAUUAAGAAGAGUUAUACUGCGUUUGGUU